UGAACGUUGGCGGCGUGCCUAAUACAUGCAAGUCGAACGAAGAAAUUAGAGUAGCAAUACCCUGAUUCUCUUAGUGGCGAACGGGUGAGUAACGCGUUGGUGACCUGCCCCAAAGAGAGGGAUAACAACUCGAAAGGGUUGCUAAUACCUCAUGUGAUCAUUUGAUUUAGAACCUUAUGAUUAAAGGAGCUUGCUCCACUUUGGGAGGGGCCUGCGUACCAUCAGCUAGUUGGUAGGGUAAUGGCCUACCAAGGCUAUGACGGUUAGGGGACCUGAGAGGGUGGCCCCCCACAAUGGAACUGAAACACGGUCCAUACACCUACGGGUGGCAGCAGUAGGGAAUAUUGGUAAUCUGCGAAAGCGGGAACCAGCAACGCCGCGUGUGCGAAGAAGGCCUUCGGGUUGUAAAGCACUUUUCGGGAGGAAGAGGAAGGACUGUACUCCCGGAAUAAGUCUCGGCUAACUAC
rnacentral:rRNA from 1 species